CCAUCCCUGCCGUGUGCGCGGACCACAGCACAAAUAACCCUACUACAUUAUAGAAUAGGGAGCCCAGCUCUGGUGCCGGAUUGCAGACCUCCCCGCUUUUGCGGGACGAAGGGAGCGUGAACGCAUCAGGCGGCGCCCACCUGCUGACGAGGUAGGCAGGUUAUAUUGGCUGUAUACGGCACGGUGGGGCAUAA
rnacentral:other from 1 species